AAAAGGUAGCAUAAUCAAUUGGCUUAUAAUUGAAGUCUAGUAUGAAUGGGAAUCCGGGGAAUAGCUAUCUAAGUUCAGAUAACAUAAAUUACUUAAUGAGUGAAAAGUCUCAUAAACAGAAGAAAGACGAGAAGACCCUAGAAAUUUUUUUAUUUAAAUUCUAUAUACUAUUUUGUUGGGGCGACAUAGUAACAAAUAACUUACUAUACUAUACAAGCUACUAAUGAGUUGCGAGAAUAAAUUACUCUAGGGAUAACAGCAUUAUUCAAUAUGAGUUUAUGACCUCGAUGUUGGACUAGGAAAUAAUUUUUUUAGAAGAUAAAUUAUCUUAGCUCUGUUCGAGCUCUACCUCCUACAU
rnacentral:rRNA from 1 species